rnacentral:rRNA from 1 species
GACGAACGCUGGCGGCGUGCUUAACACAUGCAAGUCGAACGGAAAGGCCCUGCGCUUGUUGGGUGCUCGAGUGGCGAACGGGUGAGUAACACGUGAGUAACCUGCCCUUGACUUUGGGAUAACUUCAGGAAACUGGGGCUAAUACCGGAUAGGAGCUCCUGCUGCAUGGUGGGGGUUGGAAAGUUUCGGCGGUUGGGGAUGGACUCGCGGCUUAUCAGCUUGUUGGUGGGGUAGUGGCUUACCAAGGCUUUGACGGGUAGCCGGCCUGAGAGGGUGACCGGCCACAUUGGGACUAAGAUACGGCCCAGACUCCUACGGGAGGCAGCAGUGGGGAAUAUUGCACAAUGGGCGGAAGCCUGAUGCAGCAACGCCGCGUGCGGGAUGACGGCCUUCGGGUUGUAAACCGCUUUCGCCUGUGACGAAGCGUGAGUGACGGUAAUGGGUAAAGAAGCACCGGCUAACUACGUG